GCAGCAACGCCGCGUGUGCGAUGAAGGCCUUCGGGUUGUAAAGCACUUUUCGAGGGGAUGAGGAAGGACAGUACCCUCGGAAUAAGCCUCGGCUAACUACGUGCCAGCAGCCGCGGUAAAACGUAGGAGGCGAGCGUUAUCCGGAUUUACUGGGCGUAAAGCGUGUGCAGGCGGUUCGGCAAGUUGGAUGUGAAAGCUCCCGGCUUAACUGGGAGAGGUCGUUCAAAACUACCGGACUUGAGGAUGGGAGAGGGAGGUGGAAUUCCGGGUGUAGUGGUGAAAUGCGUAGAUAUCCGGAGGAACACCAGUGGCGAAGGCGGCCUCCUGGCCCAUUUCUGACGCUCAUACACGAAAGCUAGGGGAGCGAACGGGAUUAGAGACCCCGGUAGUCCUAGCUGUAAACGAUGUAGACUUGGCGUCGGUGGGUUCAAAUCCAUCGGUGCCGAAGCUAACGCGAUAAGUCUACCGCCUGGGGACUACGGCCGCAAG
rnacentral:rRNA from 1 species